GCAAUGGUGGUUCAAUGGUAGAGUUCUUCCCUUCCAUGUGGGAGAACUGGGUUUGAUUCCCAGCCAACGCA
rnacentral:tRNA from 1 species